CUUUUGUGUUGAAAGAGCCAGCUUGAUGUUUUUAUAACUGUAACACUUGUAAAUAUUCUGUGCUUUGCUUUUCUCUGCUUGAAGGGAGAUUCUGGUGGAUUACCAGGACCACCAGGACUUCCUGGUCCAAAGGGGGAGCCUGGAGAACCCAGUGUUGGAUCUUUGGGUGAAAGAGGAAUGCCAGGAUUACCGGGCGAACAUGGAGAAAAGGGUGAACCUGGUGAGAGCAUCAUUGGCCCCGCGGGAGCCUCUGGC
rnacentral:lncRNA from 1 species